rnacentral:rRNA from 1 species
UAAUAGCUCACUGGUCGAGUCGGCCUGCGCGGAAGAUGUAACGGGGCUAAACCAUGCACCGAAGCUGCGGCAGCGACGCUUAUGCGUUGUUGGGGAGGGGAGCGUUCUGUAAGCCUGUGAAGGUGUACUGUGAGGUAUGCUGGAGGUAUCAGAAGUGCGAAUGCUGACAUAAGUAACGAUAAAGCGGGUGAAAAGCCCGCUCGCCGGAAGACCAAGGGUUCCUGUCCAACGUUAAUCGGGGCAGGGUGAGUCGACCCCUAAGGCGAGGCCGAAAGGCGUAGUCGAUGGGAAACAGGUUAAUAUUCCUGUACUUGGUGUUACUGCGAAGGGGGGACGGAGAAGGCUAUGUUGGCCGGGCGACGGUUGUCCCGGUUUAAGCGUGUAGGCUGGUUUUCCAGGUAAAUCCGGAAAAUCAAGGCUGAGGCGUGAUGACGAGGCACUACGGUGCUGAAGCAACAAAUGCCC